rnacentral:rRNA from 1 species
AGCGAACGCUGGCGGCGUGCUUAACACAUGCAAGUCGAGCGAGAAAGGGGGCUUCGGCCCCUGAGUACAGCGGCGAACGGGUGCGUAAUACAUGAGCAAUCUACCCCUUGAGGCGGGGAAUAACCCAGCGAAAGUUGGGCUAAUACCGGAUAAGACCACAAGAGGAGACCCUUGAGGCUAAAGGCAGCUCUCUUUUGGGGGUCGGGCCCUUUGAGGAGGAGCUCAUGUCCUAUCAGCUAGUUGGUAGGGUAACGGCCUACCAAGGCGAAGACGGGUAGCUGGUCUUAGAGGAUGAUCAGCCACACGGGGACUGAGACACGGCCCCGACUCCUACGGGAGGCAGCAGUGGGGAAUAGUUGGGCAAGUGGGGGAAACCCGUCGACCCAGCGACGCCGCGUGGGUGAUGAA